CAUCGAUGCAAAAUCAACAUCUGGUCUCAGCCUCUUUUCAAUCUGGCACUAAUUGAUGGGAAGGCACUGGUGGUUUAGAAGUUACAUGCAAGGAAGAGGAUGCCAGGGAGGCUGGGAGAGCUUGAAAAGAUCGGUCUGGAAAAGGUUUGGAGAGACACCUUAAAGAACCCACAAGGGCAGGCAUGCGUGGUUGCUAUGGUUACCAGGCUCUUUGGCGGUCUAUCCACCUCCUCCUAAGAAGGCAAUCCUUCUCUUCAAGAAGCACAAAGAGAAGACACUCAGGCGCUCAAACCCAAUUCACCCCGAAAGCUGGGAGAGCAGUGACAGUCCCGAGAGUUUGCCUGUCACAAUGACAACAGCAAAGUUAGGGGUCACCAGGGCUGUAAGGAGAACACACGCGGAAAGCUGCUUUAUGAAUAUUUGUUAAGAUUAGAAUGAGAUUAAACAGCGAAGUCAGAGCCGA